rnacentral:lncRNA from 1 species
UCUCCACUCCUGCCUCCUGGAGACUCAGCGAGCUCGUCCCUCAUUGACUCUACAUCACCCCUCACCCACCGGUCCCAGGUUGUCUGCAGAGUGAGAUUAUGGCGAAGCAUUUUAUUCUUUUUACAAACCUGCUUUUUCUCAGUUUUCCACAUUGGAUUUGCCAGCUACCUGCCUUUGCAGGACACCUCAGAAGUUACAGACUUGCCUGUGGAAAUGCAGAGAGCACCUGAGGUAUUUCCCGGACUCUCCAGUAGUAGCCUUGAAUGGCUGACCAACCGCAGUCACCUGCCAGAUCUUCUCAGAACCGGCCAGCCCACCAGCGACAGGCCCAUUAAGUGGCCUGGCCCAGCCCAGAUGGAAAACCCCCUCCACGUGACUUUCUAAAGAACAUGCAUGAAGACAAAACACCAGGUGCCUCAGGUGUGACACCCUGAGGACACAUCACCUGUACAGUAUCCUAACCCACCCAAGAUGACACAGUAAGGUAAAACCACAGUAGAGCCCAGGCCUGUUUGACUCUGAAGUCCAGGCUCCUUUCCAACUUAGUGCCCUAAAGGCCUGAUUGGGGUGGGGGUAGGCAGGAAGAUUCAAGCACUGAUUGUUUGUAGCCCAGGCUGGGAGGGCAACAGCUCUAGAAAAAAAGUCACUCACUGCUUUAACCAUCUUCCAGCUAACUGCAGUGAGGUGUACAGGGCCAUGGGGCUCUGGGAUGAACUCUUCCACCUCUACACCUUGUAAACAAGGAUUCCAGACACACCCUCCAAAUGGGAAUGGAGACACACGUUUGGCAGAGUUGGACAGUAACGCUGCUCUCCUAUCAGCCUGGACUUUGAGGGGAGUGGAAAACAUGAGUGUGGAGGUGCAGCAGUCCUGGUAUCCCCUGAAACCAGCCUGUGGGGGGAACAGUCUUCCCAGGGGAGCUGCUCAGGAUCGUCCUGGUCCCAUGCAUCAGGAAGAAAAGGGAACCUGAGAGCAGAGGGAAAAUGCAGAAAGUGGGGCAGGGAGACUGCUCCCUGAAACCCCCAUGGGCUGCUGGUCCAAGCAGAAAGUGUUGUCGGAGGGGGGAGAGGCAGGGUGAAAUGGGACAGGAAACGAGGACUUCCGAUGAGGAGGAGGAGGGGGCAGUGGGCUGCGGGUCUUGGGGACUGAACAGAAUGGGGUUUGCUAGACAGAGCUUUCGUCUACCCACUCCUGAAGUCCUGCUGGACCUCAGCUGGCCCUUGUGAACUGUUGAGGGGGAUAUAAACACAAAGGCCUGCAUUCCUGUGGGUGCACAAUCCUAAGAGACCAUGGACUGCCUGUGUGUGGUGGGAACAGGAAAAGGAGGCUGAGUGUAGCCCUGCUUGGAAUUUAGUGUCCACCACAGAUGUAUCCACUACCCAGGGCCAAAGACUCGGCAGCCUCAGAAGACUCAAUGGAAGCUGAGCACAGGACUAGAAAGGGUCAGGGCCCUCCUCUGUAUGUAGGGGUGGCACAUGGCCACUAGCUGGGUGAUGGGGCACUGAGAAAUUAAAUGUUUGACAUAAAAAUGUAAUCAGGACCCGAGAGGAGGUGGGUGGUGUAAUGAACAGCAUCCUAGAAGUCCGGUACAGAUUUCACGUGUCACCUUCUAGUUCCUUAUCUGAAAUUGAAAGGUGAGGUCAGGUGCAGUGGCUCAGGCCUGUAAUCCCAGCACUUAGGGAGGCUGAGGAGGGCAUAUCAUUGAGGUCAGGUGUUUGAGACCAGCCUGGCCAACAUGGUGAAACCUCUACUAAAAAUACGAAAAUUAGCCGGCUGUGCUGCACACGCCUGUCGUCCCAGCUACUUGGGAGGCUGAGGCAGGAGAAUCCCUUGAACCUGGGAGGCAGAGGCUGCAGUGAGCUGAGAUCACACCACUGCACUCAAGCCUGGGCAUCACAGCGAGACUUCUUAAAAAAAAAAAAAAAAUUUAAAGGUGAGCCAGUUCAGGCUUCUAGAGGCACUGCAGUUACAGACGGUAAACUGCACAAAUCCUGGGUGUGAAGCUGUUUUUUCCUGUGUAACCACCACCCAUUGACAGCAUCCCAGAAAGUUCAAGUGUGUCCCUUCCCAGUUUACAGCCACCCGCCUCCCACCCUCACUUCUAAAUCCACCGAUUAGCAGUGUGUCUUGGAAAUUAAUAUACAAGGAAUCAUAUAGUAUGUGCUCUUUUGUGUUUGGCUUCUUUGCUCAAGAUGUCCGUGAGAUUCAGCCGGGUUGCCUCUCUCUGUAAUAUGUUAAUUUAGGUGUAGUAUCCAUUGUCUGGAAAUACAAUUGUCUAUUCUC